AUAAAAGCCAACAUUGUGUCCAGAUUCCUGUAAGCUCUGCUUGCUUCAGUGACAGUUUACAAGUGCAGUUAAUGAGUUAAUGUGAAGAUACAAACUCUUAUUGAAAGGGAAUGACUAUAUUACAUGAAGAAGAAAAAAAUAAGUCAUGAAGUCUUCAGAAGCCUCAUGGGCCAAAAGCAGAGAAAGGGAGAGAAAAUACAAUAUCCACAUGCCUGCAAGAAAUACAAUGGAUACUUCAGAAAAGAAAAAGACAUCCAAGCUGCCUUAGUAAAUUUGGAUUGCAAACUCACUUGGUGGAGCAAUUUGAACCAGGGAUAUCAUGAAUGCUCAGGAUCCCACACACCAAUCUGAGUUGCUGGCUUGGACCUUUUCAGACGUGAGAGAGCUGACCCUGUUUUAUUAUAGACACUGUUACAUGCAGUAACUCUUGAACUACCAAGUAAAUGGUAGGUGAUGAUGAUGCCUAGCUGAUAGUUCUUUUCCUUCUUUGUUGGGGUUUUUUGUUUGCUUGUUUCUUUUGUUGUUGCUGUUUUUUUGGUUUUCUUGUUGUUGUUUUUUUUGUUUUGUUUUUUUCUUUACAAGCACCACUAACAGAACUGUUCAUUUUGGAUUGAGUGAAACGACAUUUUCUAUUUCAGCAGUAGAUUUUCCUCUGCAAUCUCUCCCUCACGUUCCAUGGUUAGCUCAAUUUGUUGUUGUUGUUCUACUGGUACUACCACUUUUUCCCCACUUUGGCAACAAACUCUGAAAAAACAAAUUGGUUUUUCAAUCAGUCUGCCUCAAGAAUACAAGUUGAUGUUGGGCUUUCACCAAAGCUUUCGAUAUAUCAGGCCAGCCUGGGUAUACACUUCAAAAAGAUCUUUCCUCUACGACUCUGCCAGCUUGUGCAUCCUUUAUUGCAGGCACAACAAGGGUGACAAUUUGUGGCAGGCCUGGUGGGAGCUGAUCCUAGUGGCGGGCACGCAGUCAGCUAUAGCAUGCUGUCAAUUUUACCUGCCUGCAACUCUCCCAGAGGCCUGAGUCUGCCAGAGUUCACAAAAAUGAGGACAAACAGUGCUGUUUUUUGUAGUUUUUUUUUUUUUUCAUAAGCCGAUUCAGGUACUUGGAAAACAGGUUGAGCUGGGAGGGAAGACAGAUGACAUGUGAAAAGGGACCACCUAUGAAAAGAGAUUUUUGCCUUCCUAUUUGUGCACACGUGAAAUUUGCUGUUAAGCAGAAUUAAACAAGGAGAAAAAAAUCUCUUACACAGUGCAUAAGACAGUUUUGUGAUCUCAGACUUCAGAUGCCGGGAUGCAUUUGCCAGUCAUUAGGAAGGCAGUAUUCACACACUUGUUCUUUGUAAGAAUGACACACCUUGUUAAUAGAAUCAUAAAACCAUAGAAUAUCCCAAGUUGGAAGGGACCUUUAAAAAUUGUCAAGUCCAACACUUGGCUCCACACAGGAACACAAUAGUUAAGUGCAAAUAUUUCUUCUUUCUGCAGUCCUCCAAUGACAUCUGCCAAAACUGAGAUAUUGGCUAGAAUGAAUCAGUCAGUUACUCAAAUCUGGCUAAUUGUGUAUCCUUGUAGAUGACAGGACAUCGAGGGACUGUGUACAAAAUGUCAUUGGUCAUCUGUACACCUUGAGCUGUAUUGUGUGUUGAUAAUAAAUUUGACACCACCAUUGGAGGAAAUACUGAAUACUGAAGUCCUGUUCAAAGGAACCAUCUUCUAUUUCUUUCUUAAAAAGGUGUAUUCUUCCUAAGAAAAAAUAAAAAAAAAAAUUAAAAAAAAUGAUAUUCUGUACAAAAUACACCUUAGCACCUUAGGCAUUGCAAGGAUCACCAACCAAUGUGCUGAGGAAUAGCAUAGCAACCGUCACCAGGGAGAAUGUCAAAACUCUGAGACAUGCAGGCAGGAGAAAAAAAAAAAAAACGAAAGCAGGCAAUGGAGGUAAGUUCCAGCUUCCUUUAAAUCUCCAAGAAAUGGUUUAAUUCCCAUACAGUUCAACUGCACUGAAUCUAACAACAGCAACAACAACAACAAAGGAAACUGUGUGUAUAUAUAAAAUACACAAAGUAAUCUAUGCUAUUUUUCAGAGGGAAGAUGCAAACUUUGCAAACAGAGAAGGUGAAAACAUGGAUUUUGGUAGUACAACUCAGAACACAAUCUAGUUGUAUUCAAUAACGCAUUUCUUUAGGGUAAAAUCCUGUAUUAUAGAUCCUGGUUUUGCAUGCUAGUUUUCCAAACGAAUAACAAGAGACAUUAGUCCCUCACUAGGGACUACAAAGCCCAGUGCCUUUGUUGCUUAUUGUCACAUACUGCAGGGUGAUUUUGCCAAAACACUCAUAGCAUCUGGUGUUCUCCUUUCAGUCCUUGCUUGGGGGAUAAUGUGAGAAAUCUCAGAUGUUACUUUUAAAAUUAUUUUUAAACAAAUACCAAAUCUUUGAUGUAGCAGCAUUGAAAUGGAGAAACUGGCCUACAUGCCCUGCACAGAUAUAAAAAUGCAAGGACAUAUAUCAACUGCUUAACUACAUAACCAGUUUUCUUCUAGCUUUUCUUUCCUUUUGUGCUUUAUUUAUUUAUUUAGCUGCCCUGAAGAUUUUUUAGCCUAACUUCUCUCCUAUCCCUCUCCAAUCCAUUCAUAAUUCUGUAGUUUUGACUCACUUCUGAAAACUGGAAGAUAGGACCUGGCAUCUUGUUAGACCAGAAAGGAUCUUACAUGGAUGUCUUCAUCAUAGAAACAAAGUUCUUGCUCAUAAUCCAAGAAUAACUCUUUAAAAUCAUGACUUUUAGUUGUUCUGUUUUGGAUGAGGAUAUGGGACUUACUGUUCUCAGUAGAUCCUGAUGAUCAGCAUGAAGUCAUGAUUUGUAAAAGCUCUAGGGAACCUCCUUUAGCAGAGGGAUUGGUCUUGAUGAUUCCCAAGGGUCCUUUCCAACAAUCCAUUGUUGUGAUUCUGUGAUUUUCAUUAAUCCGUGUCUUAUAAUUAUUUCCUUCUGUCUUGAAUCAUUGUCUAUGGAACUUUGAUGCUGUUAUCUAACUACAUUAAAAAUCUUGAGGUAAAGUACUCAUGACAGAGAAGAUCUGUUAGGAACCACUGGGAAUUUAUUUAUUUAUUUAUUUAUUUAUUUAUUUAUUUAUUUAUUUAAAUUUAAAAUUGGCUGUUGAUCUCCUGGAAACAGUGUCCUUUUGAAAAGUAAUUCUAGAACUACAAGGAGGAUUAGGAAAAAAAACCACAGAAAUUUCUGGAAAAACUUCUGUGAAUAGGCACAAAAACAUAUAUGGAUUUAAACUAUACUUAGUUAAAAAGAAACAGAAAAGUACCAGGAGGUUUCUUGAGAGAAUAUCUCCUAAUAGAGCAAAUAAUAUUGUAAAAAUUUGUCAUAGUCCAGUUCUGUAUUUUUUUCCUUCUCUAAUAAAAAUAAAAUAAAAUAAAAUUUUUGCAUCUUACCGACACAUAGAAUGCACAGUAUGAAUAGUUCAGUUUACCAGAGCUUAUCUUCUAUGUGUGAGUUUGCUGGUUCAUUAAUAUUUUCUAAAUCAUGAGGUUUUGUCCAUAUUAGGACAGAGAACACCUGUAAAAAGCAUAUUAAAAAAAAAUGAUAACAUGUGGUUCUUAUCAAUUACUAAAUGUAUUAUCUUUAUUUGUUUGUUUUAAAAUAAAAAUAUGGAUUACAGUAGCAAGCAUAUUAUCAAGCAAGCAAUCCUGCUGUGCUUCAGUUGUUUGAUAUUAUGCAAGUUGGAGUAAAUUUUUGCUCUUCUGUUACAGUUCUGAUGCAUGAGGAAGCCAAAAGAAAAUAUGUUUGCACCCGACCAUGCAGCAUCUGAUCUGUAUGGGUAAUUUGCUGUAACUGGGAAUCAAUGACACAAAUUCUGUGACUCUAUCUAAUAAGAGAUUCAAUAAUUUUACAGCCAUUAGCACAGCAAACUAAGUCUGUAAGGAUGAUGAUCAAAAAUCACACUUUAGGGCAUAAACUAAUUGCCCAGUAAGCCAGGAAAUUAUAUGUUUCUCCUGUGUUGCACAAACAGUCAGAUGUCCUAUAAGUUUUCACCUUUUUUUUUCCAAAAAACAAGAGAAAAUGAAAUACUGAAUGAGGCUUCAUUGCUUGGAUGUAGAAAUGAAGAAAUCCAGAAUUGUAAGUUGAGAAAUAAAUGUUACAUUAAUGUAGACCUCAUUUUCCUGGGUAAGUUCAUUAUUUAAUAUAUAAUAUCUUUCCACUGUAUCAUAAUUCGUACAUAAUAUGAAUGAGAGCUGUGCCAGAAAGAAAUUAAAAGACAUAAGAGUUGACGAAUAAUAGGUUGUAGGCUGUGGGUUUCGGGGUUGUAGCCUGACAGAAAUUUAACCACACAAGGUGCUCUUUUUCCCCUCACUGCCCUCAGUGAUUAAAAUUAGCAAUGACAAUCCGGCCCCAGCUUUUCAGGUUGAAGCUAUUGUCAUGGUCUUGAAUGAUCCCCAUCUCUGCAUAAAAAUGUAUAUUAGUGUUUGUAUCCUGCUUUUUUUUUUCUUUUUUCCCCCUCUUAAAAAGCACAGAAAGAACAAGAGAGGAGAAAGUAUCUCUCAUUGCUAGCAUGCUUCUACUUCGUUGUUUGCCUACAGGGCUGCCCUGAACCCUUGCUCCCAUUCCAUCAUAAUACAGGCAGCAAUCAUUUUUCCUUCAAAGGACGAAGUUUGGCCACUUACAGAGAAAAAAAGAAAAAGGAAAAAGAAGAUGAAAAAAAAGGAAAAAAAAAAAAAAGGAAAAGAUACAUCUCUCUUAGCUCCUAAAGUCUAGACCAGGAAAAACCACCAUUUGGUGAAGCUUUGCAAGGACAAAUUUAAGUAGUCGUUAUCAGGAGCUGGGAGGGGCAGGGAGAGAAAGGUCAGGUCUAUACAUAGCCUAAGCAUUUGCUACUUGCUGUUACCAGGCAAAGGUUACCCAGCUAAAUGAACCUUAUGUCUAACCCCAUGUGGUAUUUUUUGUGUUCUUAUCUGAACUUCUGUCAUGCUGAGCAGAGCAGCUCGCACCUGACAUUUUUUCCUUUAUGGCCUUUUAAGCUACUAAGUCUGAUUAGUAUAGCAUCCUUAGGGAGUGGGAAGACACAGGGCAGGGGGGAAAGGUGGCAGGUAUUUUAAGGCAGGAAAAGGAUCUCCCUCCCACCUAGAUUUUCAGCCAUCCACAUAGCUGCUUCUGUCCUUCCUUCCCCUUAGUGACUAUAAUCGGAGGUGGCGCUGACUCUCAGUCCUCAGGAUCAACAAUUUUUGGUCAAAUUUGUCCAUGAAAAAUACUCUCUUUGUUAAUGAAGAAUUUAAAUCUAAGAUUUUAAUCACACAUCAGGACGCUCAAAGUUAAGGUUGCCACAGCAACCUUACAAUAAGGCUUUGUGCAAUGCAGUUAGUGAAACACACAUUUCAGUUAAAAAUUGUCUCAUUUAUCUGACAGCUUUUUAUCUCCCCCCAGAUUCUGUUCUCUCUGAAUUGUCAUCCAAAUGAGGGGAAGGACAAGAGCCAUGCUGGCAGAGUUCCCUUUUAGAUCCUGAAAGACCUUUCUCAGGUCACCUCACAGCCUUCUCUUCUCCAGGCUGAACAGCCCCAGCUCUUUCAGCCUGUACUCAUGGGGAAGGUGUUCCAUCUCUUGGAUGAUUUUUGUGGCCCUCCUUUGGAUGCACUCCACAGGUCCAUGUCUCUCCUGUACUGAGGACACCACAUCUGAACACAGUACUCCAGCAUCUUCCUGCCUGCAUGGUACCCGACAACUUUGGGUGAAUUGCUGGUGUCUGAUGCUAGCAAUUGUAAGUUAGCACCUGGCUCAGUCCUGCUGUUGUUAGACCAGCAAAACUUGACUAACAAACUCACAGAACCGUAUGGGUUGGAAGGAAUUCCUGGAGAUCAUCUAGUCCUGCAUCCUGCAGGUUCCCUACACAGGAGAGCAUCCGGGUGGCCUUGAAUAUCUCCAGAAGAGGAGACUCCACAACCUCUCUGGGAAACUUGUUUCAGUUCUCUGUCACCCACACAGUACAGAAGUUUUUCCUCAUGUUCAGAUGGAACUUGCUGUGUUCCAGCUUGAGACAUUUGCUCCUUGUCCUGUUCAUGGGCAGCACUUGAAAGAGUAUGGAACCAUCCACUUGACACUCACCCUUCAGAUGAUUAUAAGCGUUCAUAUUAUCCCCUCUCAGUCUUCUCCAGUUUAAACAGUCCUAGCUGGUCUCCUAGCCUUUCCUCAUAAGAGAGGUGCUCCAUGCCCCUGACCAUCUUUGUCACCCUCUGCUGGACUCUCUCAGUAGUUUCUUGUCUUUCAUGAACUGAAGAGCUCAGAACCGGACACAAUACUUCAGAUGUGGCCUCACAAGGACAGUGCAAAGGGGGAGAAGAACAACCCUCAACCUGUUGGCCACAUUAUUUUAAUCCACCCCAGGAUAUCACUGGCCUUCUUGGCCACAAGGGCAAACUGCUGGCUCUUGGCCAACCUGUUGGCCACCAGAACACCUAUUUCCUUCUCCCUCAACUCAAAGCAGUCUGGAAACAAGAUUUCGCUCAUGUCCAUAUUGGGUCAUUUUAUGGCAAAAAGUCAGACUAGCAAGGUAACAGGAACAGCACAAUUAGAGGUAAUUAGCCCAACAGGAGAAUCAUUGCCACUGUAUCUAAGAAGUUGGCAAUAUGAGAAAGGUCAAAAUAGUCGCAGAAAUGGAUAUAUAAUUUUCCUAUUUAGAUCACAAGCUCGUUGGGGCUCACAGAAAGCCAAAUAAAAUGACCUCUUUUGUGUCCUUGGAGUACUGCCAUAAAAAAAAUGCAACAUAUCUAGUGAUAAAAAUAACAAUAAAGGUGACCUCAGUGAGGAAUCUCAAAUAGACGAGGAAAAUAAUUUUUUUCAAGGGACAUGAACUUACUAUAGGCAUAAAGGACAAAAUUUCAGGAGCUUAAUUAUUAAUUUAAAGGAACAUUUGGCUGUGGGAUACUGUUAAAAUAAAUAACAACAGUCACACUCUUUAUCUCCUGAGUACAAUUUGGUGGGUAUAUGCUUGCAUUCACUCCCAAACUCUUACUUAUAAAUAAUUGGAAAGUGAAAAAGAUUCCUGUCCUCAGUAAACUUUAGCAAGCUUGCAGGAACUGGAGCAGUUAUUCAAAGAGAGAAAGGCCACACUGAAAUGUACAUCUGAUGCUAACCAGUAUCACAGACAGCUCUUUCACAGACAGCUCUAUCACCUGUCAGUAUUUCACUUGACACUCUUUGAACUGGGCAUCUUUCAGUUUGAUACUCCAUGGGUUCACUCAUGAGAAUGACUCAUUGGGAAGCACUCAUCUGGCCAAAGUCCUCUAGCACCAUUUAACACCCACAGAACUACUUUUACUCAGCAGACUCAGUGUGACUAAUGCCUGCUGAAAGCUGCCGUCUCCUUCAAAACUCUACACCUGAAAUGAAGAUGAGCAGUUUUGUAUUAGGCUAAUAGAAAUAACCUCGGGGAGUAGUUAUGCACACAUUUCAAACACUUGAAAGAGGAACAAAAACUAUGAAGUUGCUAUUGAAGUAUAAUUAAGAUGGUGUUUUCAAGUACAGUACAUCUCCUCAAACUGGAGAAGUAAGGGAGUAAGAAUGGAACCACUUAAAAAGCAGUAAAAGCUCCACUGCAUGAGGCACUCUGCGUGUACAAAAUUAGAGGAUUAGAAACCAUUCAGCCAGUCCAGUGCCUGUGUAGACUGGGAUUUGUAAAGAGCUUCUUAAUGAUUUUCCAUUGAAGGAAGAGAGAGAGAGAAAAAAAAAAAAAUAGGCUGAGAAAGGAAAAUACAUAUUCUUUUUCAGUCAUCUAGUUGGAACAAACCAAAGUCCAGCCUACUUCCUUCUGAAGCCUUUCUUGAAAACUAGAUAAAAAGAUUGAAGCUUCCUUUGUGGCUCUAGCAUAUAUUGUUUUUUGCUAAACUAGGGAGGUCCUGGGCUCUACUUACAAGCAAUUUCUUUUAUCAGUUAUUUUUAUGCCAUCAGAAAAGUUGGGAAAAAUUUAUUUUCUGGUGAAAAUUUCAAAUCUCAAAUAUUUUCUUGUCUGCAGAAGCCUCAUGUGUUCCCAUAUUUAUACUGUUAUCUCCACUGAUUAACAGCCGUCCUGGAAGCUCAGUGAAGCUUCCAGGAUCAUGUUUUAAAUAUUUUUAAAGUUAUGGGGGAGAAAUAUAUAUAUAUACGCAUAUUGAUCACAGUAGAGCUUGAAUUUUGUUGGAGUGUUAGGAAGGUUAUGUUUGGUGACUGUUUUUACGUAGGCCUUUCCACCAAUAUUCCAUUACAUUUUGUUGCCAUGUGACAGAUGGCAGCUGAGAGGCAGUCUGACACAACAGACAUGGAAGUAUGUAUGAAGCAACGGUGUAGAAGUGACUCCUCCACGUGGAAAAAAUUGCACCCACUGACAUUCACUGUCACUUGCUUAAUCUUUAUGGAGAACAAACAGUGAAUGUCAGAAGAGUGAGGUGGUGAGUGGUGUGUUUCAGCAAUGGUGAGAGUGAUGUUAAAGACUAAUCAGGUUCUGGAUGGCCACGCGCAACUAUCACACCACAAAAAGAAGAGCAUCUCAAUCAGCUCAUCUGCAUGAAUUCAUUGAUUGAGACAGACCAGUGCACUGUGUACAGAACUGAAUAUUGGCUUCAGUGUGUUGGAAAUGAUGGUGGCAACACAAAUUUUGCACCAGGCAGGUCCCACGUAAAGAACUGUGUACAAAGUUUUUUGUACAAGACCUGUUGAAGCAAUAUGAGUCUGAAGGUAACAGUUUCCUCAAUCACAUCAUUAUCAGUGAUGAGACAUCAUCACUAUGAGCUAGAGUCAAAAUGGCAGUCCAUGGAGUGGCAAGAUGUGAAUUCCCCAUCCAAAAAAAAGUCCAAGAUGCAGGCCUCUGUGGGUAAAGUGGUGUGCACUGUCUUUUGGGAUAGGAAAGAGGCGAUCUUUCUGGAUUUCCUGAAACAUGGACAAACCAUCAACACUGACAUCUAUAUUGUGAUACUAAGAUGAAGACUUGAACUUCCAGAGAAGUUCAAGCUUUGAACUUGCAAGAGAAGACAACCUUUCUCUUGCAACAUGGCAAUGCCAGGCCCUAUACCAGUUUGAAGACUGUGGAGCACAUUAAAAGUCUUGCCUGGACUGUUCUAUCAUACCCACUGUGUAGUCUGGAUUUUGUGCCUUCUGACUUCCAUCUGUUCAGGCUGAUGAAUGAUGAACUGCAUGGACAAAAUUUUCCUAGCAAUGACUCUGUCAUAGCAGCUGUGAAACAGUGGGUCACUUCCACUGGUGCAGAAAUUUAUGAGUGCAGCACGCAGGCUCUUGUUGAUCACUAGCCAAAAUGCAUAGUAAUGGUGGUGACUGUUGAAAAAUAGUAUUCUGUAG
rnacentral:lncRNA from 1 species